rnacentral:lncRNA from 1 species
AGCUGUCCUGACUGCUGGUGUGUUUCCAUCCUGUGUUAAGACUGCGUUUUGUCAAAGGACUGUAAAGACUGCUAAAGCUAUCCACAGGAGGGACGAAGUUGGAUAAGAAAAAUAUUUUCAUCCCUUCUCUUCAGUCGGACUUCGGGCUCACUGAGGUUUUACAACUUAGAUCGCUCCGCCAAUUCACAGUCACACACACUGAGUGAACAACCCUGAAUUAUCUGGUGCUGUGUGACUUCCGGCUCUUCCCAAAGUCACAGCGACCAUAAAAGGAAUCCAUUUUGGAUUGGUUCUGGACCUGGAGGCAGUCGCAACAGCACACUAAAGACGCUCAAGAGAGAGGACUUCAAAGCCGCUGCAGGAAGUGUGAGAAUGAUCGGAGGGGUGUGUUUGAUGCGGGAGGAAAGCUUCUGAGGGGAAUUCAUGGCGAUGUGUUCUCAUGGAAUCAUUUUCUAAAAGAUUAAAGUAUUUACCAUAGUUUUUCCUCACAUC